UUUCUUGAAAAUGAAGAUGAUCACAGUAUUGGGACUUACAAGUAGAUAAUAGCAGAGGAACUAAAUGAGAGAAAUAUAGCAGAUGAGCAGUGCUGCAGUGAACAACUCAUAGGAUGUUGAUUUUCUUGAAAAUGAAGAUGAUCACAGUAUUGGAACUCACAAGUAGCUAAUAGCAGAGAAACUAAAUGGGAGGAAUAUAGCGGAUGAGCAGUGAACAACUGAUAGAUUGUAAGUCCAUUCCAAUGAUGAACUCUGGAUCAUCACUAGAUCACAGUUCGAAUGGAAGCUUUAAUUACACAAAAGCAAUGGCAGUGAUGGACUCUUUGUUACAGGAUUUUCAAUAUACAAAUACCAUCAGGUAGCAGAAAAGCUUGGCAUUCAUCACAGCAUGCCUACUGCUCCUGCCAAAUGAAGUAUUC